UCGAGAAUCUUCCGCAAUGGGCGCAAGCCUGACGGAGCGACGCCGCGUGCGGGAUGAAGGCCUUCGGGUUGUAAACCGCUGUCAGUGGGGAGCAAAUCCCAGGGAGUUCUCUCCUUGGGUUGAGCAAUCCGCAGAGGAAGCGCAGGCUAAGUUCGUGCCAGCAGCCGCGGUAACACGAACUGCGCGAACGUUAUUCGGAAUCACUGGGCUUAAAGAGUCCGUAGGCGGCUCGGCAGGUGAGGUGUGAAAUCCCACGGCUCAACCGUGGAACUGCGCUUCAAACCGUCGGGCUAGAGGGAGAUAGAGGAGAGCGGAACUGAUGGUGGAGCGGUGAAAUGCGUUGAUAUCAUCAGGAACACCGGUGGCGAAAGCGGCUCUCUGGGUCUCUUCUGACGCUGAGGGACGAAAGCUAGGGGAGCGAACGGGAUUAGAUACCCCCGUAGUCC
rnacentral:rRNA from 1 species